rnacentral:rRNA from 1 species
GAUGAACGCUAGCUACAGGCUUAACACAUGCAAGUCGAGGGGCAGCAUGAUUGAAGCUUGCUUCAAUUGAUGGCGACCGGCGCACGGGUGAGUAACACGUAUCCAACCUUCCGUACACUCAGGGAUAGCCUUUCGAAAGAAAGAUUAAUACCUGAUGGUAUCUUAAGCACACAUGUAAUUAAGAUUAAAGAUUUAUCGGUGUACGAUGGGGAUGCGUUCCAUUAGGUAGUAGGCGGGGUAACGGCCCACCUAGCCUACGAUGGAUAGGGGUUCUGAGAGGAAGGUCCCCCACAUUGGAACUGAGACACGGUCCAAACUCCUACGGGAGGCAGCAGUGAGGAAUAUUGGUCAAUGGACGAGAGUCUGAACCAGCCAAGUAGCGUGAAGGAUGAAGGUCCUACGGAUUGUAAACUUCUUUUAUAAGGGAAUAAAACCUCCCACGUGUGGGAGCUUGUAUGUACCUUAUGAAUAAGCAUCGGCUAACUCCGUGCCAGCAGCCGACGG